rnacentral:rRNA from 1 species
GACGAACGCUGGCGGCGUGCUUAACACAUGCAAGUCGAACGGAGAGGCCCUGCUUUUGUGGGGUGCUCGAGUGGCGAACGGGUGAGUAACACGUGAGUAACCUGCCCUUGACUUUGGGAUAACUUCAGGAAACUGGGGCUAAUACCGGAUAGGAGCUCCUGCUGCAUGGUGGGGGUUGGAAAGUUUCGGCGGUUGGGGAUGGACUCGCGGCUUAUCAGCUUGUUGGUGGGGUAGUGGCUUACCAGGGCUUUGACGGGUAGCCGGCCUGAGAGGGUGACCGGCCACAUUGGGACUGAGAUACGGCCCAGACUCCUACGGGAGGCAGCAGUGGGGAAUAUUGCACAAUGGGCGGAAGCCUGAUGCAGCAACGCCGCGUGCGGGAUGACGGCCUUCGGGUUGUAAACCGCUUUCGCCUGUGACGAAGCGUGAGUGACGGUAAUGGGUAAAGAAGCACCGGCUAACUACGU